rnacentral:misc_RNA from 1 species
AGAGACGUCAGUCGUUUACUGGACUCGGCCGAGUGAACUUGUCCAGUCCUUCUUGAUUGCAGGUGUUGUUUGUGACAGUUUGUUAUUUGCAGUCACAUGCUAGCGUGGUUUGUGAUUUAUUUGCUAAACUGAGUGUUGUUUACUGUUGGACUAACCUAGAUUUCGACGUCAGCAUUUUGAGCAGUGUAACCUGGAGUGUGGUUUCAGGAUAACUAUCCAACAGAGCAAUUGUGAUGCAAUAUCCAGGAAUCUUCAAUAUCAUAGAUAUUACUCGUUGCGGAACAUAGAACAACAAUAAGACGUGAAUAUGGAUUCGAGGCUCCAAGCCGGUUAUUCGACGACCUGGCAAACGGUGGAGCCAGGAUUCAACCGACAUCAGAAAAUAAGCCUCCUACUUUAGCUCAAACUGGUCUUACGAUGAGGCGCUAUCAGAUCGCUAGUAGAGUGCCUGAAAGCAACAGCAGAUUCAUAGCCGUCUGCUGUUGCGCGGAAAUGCGCGGAGGUCGACGACGCACGGCAUCAUGUCUGCGCACGGCUGUGUUCCUGUUUGUGGUGACAUUCGUGUGGCUGCAGCUGCACCUCACCAACCUGGGCGGCGGAGGGGGGCAGGGGGGCACUCUCAAGGACACCACCAACGACAACGACUCCUCCGCCGCCAUUCUCAGCAUGGUGCCACAGGUGCUGCACAAAUUUCUGACCAGUAAGCCGCGAAACACAACUCAUAGCCUGAAUGGCUCGAACAUGAGUGUGGACGCCCAUCGCCUGACCAUUGAUGAGAUCCGCCACAACAUCGAAAAAUACAAUCAAAUGCAGACUGUGCACAAUGAGGACUUGUUCGGACCACUGCUUAACGAUUCACUUAUCAUUGUUAUACAGGUGCACACACGGCUGAUCUACCUGAGGCACCUGAUUGUCAGCCUGGCGCAGGCUCAAGAGAUCGACUCCACUCUGCUAGUCUUUAGUCACGAUUACUACAAUGAGGAGAUCAACGAAGUUGUACAAAGUAUAGAUUUCGCCAAAGUCAUGCAGAUAUUCUAUCCGUAUUCUAUUCAAACACAUCCCAACACUUUUCCAGGGGAGAGUCCCGAUGACUGUCCUCGUGAUAUCAACUAUGAACAGGCAGUGCUACGUAAGUGCACCAAUGCGCUACAUCCAGAUCUCUACGGCCAUUACAGAGAAGCAAAGUUCACGCAGACCAAACACCAUUGGUGGUGGAAAGCUAAUAGAGUUUUCAACCAACUAGAAGUAACCAGAUAUCAUACAGGUAUGGUGCUUUUUGUAGAAGAGGACCACUAUGUUGCUGAGGAUUUCAUUCACAUUCUAAAGCUGAUGGAGAAAACUUCAAAAGCAAGCUGUCCAGCGUGUAAUAUACUUUCUUUGGGUACUUACCUGAAAACUUACGACUACUACAGUGAGAGUAAAAAGAAGGAGGCAUUGCGCGCCAUGAAGCGACACCAGUCCCUCACGGCGGCCGCCAUCCCCCCCUCCUGGGGCUUCCAGAUUCUGCCUUCGCUCUAUCAGCACUACCAAAAGGCUGAGGUGACGCCAUGGAUCAGCAGCAAGCACAACAUGGGCAUGGCGUUGAACAGGUCAACGUGGCAGGAGCUGCGCAAAUGCGGUCGACUGCUUUGCACCUACGAUGACUACAACUGGGACUGGAGUCUGCAGCAUGUGUCACAGGCAUGUCUGCCACACAAGCUCACCGCCGUUGUCAUGCGAGUGCCGCGUAUCUUUCACAUCGGCGAGUGCGGCGUGCACCACAAAAAGGCCAACUGCCAGAGCACCGGUGUGAUCUCAAAAGUGCAGAAAGUGCUGGCGAACGCGGCGCACCACCUGUACCCCUCCCACCUCACGCUCACCUUCACCACGGGCGCCAAGAAGCACAAACUGCGCAAGGGCAACGGCGGGUGGGGCGAUGUGCGUGACCACGAGCUCUGCAUGAACAUGACGCAGGUCGACAGAUAGUGUCGGUUUGUGCCUGUCUGGAACGGUUCGUUCAACAACUAUUAUUGAGUGGUGAGCCUGUGUUGCAGCAACAAAAUACUAUGUUACACAACUGUUAAACCUGUGUUCCAGAAACAAAAUACUAUGUUACAUAACUUUAAAACCUGUGUUGCAGCAGCAUAAUGCCAUGUUACACAACUUUGAAACCUGUGUUGCAGCAGCAUAAUACUAUGUUACACAACUGUUAAACCUGUGUUGCAGAAACAUAAUAUUACGCUACACAACUUUAAAACCUGUGUUGCACCAGCAUAAUACUAUGUUACACAACUGUUAAACCUGUGUUGCAGAAACAUAAUAAUACUGUACACUACACAACUUUAAAACCUGUGUUGCACCAAAAUGUUAGGCUACUGAUGGUAGCCAACAGAAAGUAACUAACUAUGAGAAACGGGUAACCUACUAAACGUGGUUAAUUUUAUAACAAUGAACGUAAUCUGUAUGCUCAAAUUUGUUUCAAUUUGGUGAGUUCUAUUGAAUUGAUUCAUAAUUAUUGGUUAACCUGUUUUGCAGGAAUAUAUCAAGCUACACAACUUUCACUGAUGAUGAAACAGAAAUUAAUCUAUGAGAAACGUGUAGCCUAUUAAAAAAGGUUACUUUUAUAUCAUUGAAAGUAAUCUAUAUCUCCACUUUGUUUCAAUUUGGUGAGUUCUGUCGCGUGAUAUACUAAACAACCACUAUUGAAUUGGUUGGUAAUGAUUGCAUAACCUCUGUUGCAGGAAGAUAUUAUGUUACAUAACUUUUACUGAUAAUUGAAUAGACUUAAAAUGUUGUCAAAAAUCCACUUUAAUUAGAUGAAAAUUAAUAUUUUACAGCUGAUGAUGUGUGAGCACACACAAAAGCAUGCUCCUGUAAAAUAUUAAUUGUCAUUUAAUUGAAGUGGAUUUUUGACAGCAUUUUAAGUCUAUUUAAUUAUGGAAAAGUUCCACAACAUCAACAUUUUACUUAUAAUAGCCGACAGAAAGUAUCCUAUGAGAAACGGGUAUCCUACUAAAAAUUGUUCAUUCUGUAACAUUUAAAGUAGUCCAAGUUAAAAUUUGUACAUAGCUCUGGAAAGCUUAGGAAAAAUUCCUUAACUGUGGCCACUAUACUGGGAUUUUAUCUGUUUGUUUCAAUAUCGUGAGUACAUGGGAAUAUUAUACUAAACAACCACUGUUCAAUUGAUUGGUAGGUAAUCCAAGUUAAAAUGUGUAAAAAGCUCUGGAAAACUUGGGAAAAAUUCCUAAACUAUGAGUGGCCACUAAUGGUGAUUUUAUCUGUUUGUUUCAAUAUCGUGAGUUCAUGGAAACAUUAUACUAAACAACCACUGUUCAAUUGAUUGGUAGUUAAUGGUUGGAUAGCAUGUGUUGCAGGAACAUAUAAACCUGUUAAACUACACAACUUUUACCGAUAGCCAACAAAAGGUACUGGCAAUUCCGAUUCAUCUUUUUGACACUUGAUAAUGUCGAAACAUGUCGUGUCAAAUAAACAAAGGGUAGCCUUCUUAAGUGUUUCAACUUUCUGUUUAUAUGAUAGAAAAUAAUAAUCCAUAUAAUAUGUUUAUCUCAGCUUUGUUUCAAUGUGGGGAGUUAAUAUAAAUAUUACACUCUAAACAAACUACUUUUGAUGGACGACUACAACAAUGAUUGGUAUUAGUUGGAAAGAUUUAUUUCAGUCAUGUCUUGAAACAAACAUUGUUAAUAGAUAAUGGUUGGUUAACCUUUGUUUCCAAGGUGAAGAACCUUUGUUUCCAAGGUGAACAAUUUUGCAAAGUGCAAACAUUACUUGUAUUGAAUAAAACUAUGAUUGAAAGGAAACAAAAAUCAAUAUAGCUGUCAUAUACUAGCCUUGUUAUCAUAAGUGGAGAGUUUACAGAAGUGUAUGAAACACCAAGGGUGUGUACAAACAGGGAGUGGUCACGUAGUCGAGUUCCAGCGGUCUUGAAAGGAUAUAGAUAUAUAUUUAUAUAUGAUUUGUGCUUGUAUUCGAAUGAAAUAAAUAUGGAUAAUCUUAGCACUUUUGAAAUAUGAAUAUCCAUAUCUUUAUCCUCCUAAUACUAUACAGCUCUGAUCGCUGACCACUCUCUGAGUACACAUACCCUGAGCUAAACAGAUGUUAUAUUGCUGCACAAAACUAAUGUUAUCUGCAUUGUCGAUACAACGAUCUAGUUCUGCUGCCACAGCUUCGUUUCAAUGUGGAACGUUCACAGAAACAUCACGCUAAAUAACUAAUGUUGAUAGACAAAUACCGAAAAAUCUAAACAACCAGAUUUUAUAGAUUAAAUGAAGAGGAUGUACGGUUUUCAGCAUGAUUGUAAGCCUGCAUACGUUUGACACUCUUAAAUUGAUAUGCGGUGUUCUAAAAUCACAAUACUGUUUUAUACAGUCAUUUAAAAGUUUAAUGAAUUAUUUGAAAACUUGCUAAUCUAGUACCAUAUCUUUCUUAAUUUAUUAUGUUAGUUGAGUCUCAGCAAAUAGUUUCAAUUUUAUUUAAAAAUGCUACCUAUUUAAUUGUUAUUUAAUAUUAAAAUAAACUUGUUUUGCUAAGCUUCAAUACAUGCUGCAAACCACCCAUCCAACUACAUUCCAUUUUUCACGAUAAACUCAAUGAUUAGGUAAAACCUGUAUUUAGAUUAGAAAGAUUAUUUAUUGAAUGAAGUAUGUAUAGAAUGUGUGCUUAACAGGCGCAAAAUUUCAUAUUAUAAAGUGUGUAAUAUAGAAAAUAUAUUACGUAAUAAUAAAUUAUGAACUCGGUAAACCAUAUAAAUAUUUAUCUAAUAUGUCUAUUUUAUGCAUAAUAUGUAUUAUGAAUAUUUCUGCCGAAUUAAGUGAGAAAAUGAAUUAAAAUCGGAAUUAAAUGAAUAGAAUGCUAAAAAUAUUAGCUCAACACUUCAUCGAUAACUCAUAUUAUGUUUUUUUUUUCAUAAAUACCGUCCAUUUGAAAAAUUAUUCCAUCAAAUAUUAAGGGUACCACAUUUCAUAGUUUUCAUUUUUCCUACGCAGUUUUCCAUUUUAAUCUUCAUUGUAUAGCAUUUAUUUCUUGAGAUGUAUUUACCUGUACCUUGAAGAUUUUGCAUUUGGUGUAAAUUGCGUAUUAUUUGUUUUAGAAAGGACAUUCUAUUUAUAAUAUUCCUAUUUUUCAUUUCUAAAAAAUAAUAUUAGAAACAUUAAAUAAUGUUAAAAUUUGUUCCUUGAGAUCAACUAUCUCAGUUCCAUGAAGAUGAAUUCGGUGUAUCAUUUUCCCCAGAUAGGAUAUUUUAGGAUAUCCUUAUCUCUCAUUUCAGACAAAUAAUAUUGUACUUGCUUUACAUCUUAAUUCCCAAUCAUUUUCAAGAAUAGCUCAGUUUAAACGUCAGUGGCUCAUCAGCUAACUAGUAACUACCCUUAAGGUUCAUGUCACUUUGAACUAUCUCAAACAACUCAGUCUCUACAGAUAAUAAUAUGAGACCUAAUUGUAUCAGUAGGUACCUACCUAAAUGUAAUAUUUCGUCUGAAAGACCUACAUGUUAUCCAAGUUGCAAAAAAUUAUUCAACACUUAUUUAUUUCAAAACUAUAUGGUUUGCUAGUUGAUAGAAAUAAUUUAGAUUAUAAGAAAUUAUUGUUGUCCUAUUCCAUAUGAAUAUUGUAAUUAAUUCGAAAAUUGUUUGCUCUAAAUUUUAAUUGUUUAGUAACAAUUUUAGUUAAUUAUUGUAAAUCGUACUGAUUAUUUUGUGAUAUCAUGCUGAGAAAGUCGUUUUCUUACAAUGAUUCAUUGUAUUGAAAACCUUGGUGAUACCAAUAUAAGCAUAAUGCUCUAUUUAUGUUGAUCUCCUGGUGUAAAUUGGGAUUCUUAUAAACUAAGUCUAGUCAUACUGUUGAUAGUUGUUAUAUCAUUAAUAAUAUUCUUCAGCAUUUAAUUAUUAUGCUGUUAAUUUGUCAUUGAUCGCAAUAUUUUGUUACCAUUUGUGUAAGAAACAUAAUACUAUAGCUUAUGAAAAGAUAAUCUGAGCUUUUAGAUUUCAUGAAAUUUAAUUUACCAACUUCUCAUUCCUUUUUGUCAUAAUUAUUAUUAUUAGUUCAUCUCAUUGAAAACUUAAUAUUUCAAAACUUAUCUCCAAGAAAAUUUCUGAAUAGUUUUAAAAAGUUAUUUUGUCAAGUAGGCUACACUAGUUCGUUGAGACAUGUUGAAAGUGUGUUCAAAUAAUUUUCGUCCGUCAAGCGAUCAAAAGAAUUUUCUUUUCAAAAGACUUUUCGCUAAGGCUUUUUAAAGGCUAAAUUUUCUUUAAAGUUUGUCUGAAUACCAUGUACCAUUGAAAUAUCUACAACCUAUUCAGAAUUUUCAUUUUUAAGAUGAACUAGGAGAUUUUUCAUUACUUUCGAUGUACUAGAUUCCAUUCAUUUCUUACUGUAUGGAAUUUCUCUUUGUAAGCUUCAAUUUGGAAACCAAUUUAUAGUGAAUGAAAGCACAAUGUUACAGAAGUCUUCCGAAUCUCGAAUCAAUUCGAAUGAUGUACUUUUUCAUUAUUCAAUUCUCCUUUUCUGGUUAGAAUAAUAAUUAUUGCGUUCUAUGUUGUGUAUUAUUGAGUCAUAAUUUUCAGAGAAAAUAAAUGUGACUUAAUAUAAUAAAACUUUGUAAAAUAAUAAUAUUAUACAAAUUGGUGUUCACUCUAAAUAAAAUUAAAACCCAAUUAUCAUAAGUGUUGUAAAUCAGUAGUCAUUAUGAUUAAUUUUGUGUAUAGUAUUGUAAAUAAUAAGCUAAAUAUUUUGUUGAUAUGUAAUAAAGUAUUGUGAAUAUGAAUGUAUUUUCCAACUCUUCACAGCUCUGUGAAUCUUGUAUCAUAAUAAUUGUAAAGCUUGUAAAAAAUGUAUGCUGAACUUAAAACUACUGUAUAAUGUGUGGAAUUAAUAAUGAAAAUAAAAACAGUUGGGUGCAUUCCUUUCUUAAUAAUAACGUACAAACUUGUAGUGAAUCCUGUAUUAGACAUUAUUGAGGAUUUGGAAACAUUUUAAUCCAGUGUUUUUGGCUCAACAUUAUUAUUAUAUUCUUUAAAAUAAUAAAUUUUAAAUAAUUUUCUGCGAACUACUCAGAAACGUUCCGAUUGAAAUAAAAUAAGUAUAUUUUAUCUUCAAGAAAAGCUAAAAUGAGACAUUUGAGAAGCUUGAAAUUUGAUUUUGAUAGUGGCAAAAGAAGGAUUAUGAUAAAUAUUUCUAGACGAUCCAAAUAAAAUCAUUUUUAGUGUGCUAGACAAGUUUGCUUGACAGUUGAACACCCUUAUCGAUUGUGUUAUUGAGCUCAAAAAUUGUGUAACUACAAUGCUGUGUAAACACUGGAUAAAAUCAAUUAAAUAUGAAGAAAAGCAAUUGAACUGUGAUUGAUGAUAGAAAAUUGUGCGCUGAUUCCUACUGUAUCUUCUUUACAUGAAAAUUUUAGUUCAUUGCAAGAAUAUUUUUGUCUAAUUCAUAAAGAUGUUAAACCUUUGUUCUGACAUUUUAAAUGUAUUGAAAUAAGUGAGACUGUCUAUUUUACAAAUUAAUAAAGAAAAUGAGGGAGA